AUUGAACGCUGGCGGCAUGCUUUACACAUGCAAGUCGAACGGCAGCGCGGGCUUCGGCCUGGCGGCGAGUGGCGAACGGGUGAGUAAUGCAUCGGAACGUGCCCAGUAGUGGGGGAUAGCCCGGCGAAAGCCGGAUUAAUACCGCAUACGACCUGAGGGUGAAAGCGGGGGACCGAAAGGCCUCGCGCUAUUGGAGCGGCCGAUGUCGGAUUAGCUAGUUGGUGGGGUAAAGGCUUACCAAGGCGACGAUCCGUAGCUGGUCUGAGAGGACGACCAGCCACACUGGGACUGAGACACGGCCCAGACUCCUACGUGAGGCAGCAGUGGGGAAUUUUGGACAAUGGGGGCAACCCUGAUCCAGCCAUGCCGCGUGCGGGAAGAAGGCCUUCGGGUUGUAAACCGCUUUUGUUCGGGAAGAAAUCCUCUGGGCUAAUACCCCGGGGGGAUGACGGUACCGGAAGAAUAAGCACCGGCUAACUACGUG
rnacentral:rRNA from 1 species